rnacentral:rRNA from 1 species
CGCGUAGGCGGCCAUGCGUGUCUUCCGUGAAAUCCCUCGGCUUAACUGAGGACGUGCGGAAGAAACUGCAAGGCUCGAGUCCGGGAGAGGGGGGUGGGAAUUCCCAGUGUAGCGGUGAAAUGCGUAGAUAUUGGGAGGAACACCGGUGGCGAAGGCGGCCCCCUCGGACCGGUACUGACGCUGAGGCGCGAAAGCGUGGGUAGCAAAACGG